UACGGGGGGGGCAAGCGUUGUUCGGAAUUACUGGGCGUAAAGGGCUCGUAGGCGGCCCUCUCAGUCGGAUGUGAAAUCCCCAGGCUCAACUUGGGAACGGCAUCCGAUACUGGAGGGCUUGAAUUCGGGAGAGGGAUGCAGAAUUCCAGGUGUAGCGGUGAAAUGCGUAGAUAUCUGGAGGAAUACCGGUGGCGAAGGCGGCAUCCUGGACCGAGAUUGACGCUGAGGAGCGAAAGCCAGGGGAGCAAAGCGGG
rnacentral:rRNA from 1 species